AAAGGUACCUUUCUUGGCUGAUCCCUUUCGCGUUAUGGCGAGCUCGUUUGGGUUGGGCAUCGGCUAGAAGUGCUUGGAGCGCGGAUUAACUCCAGUCUCCUAUCAGGUGAGCCCUAGAAUUGGUGGACUUGGAGCUGGGCGGGAUUCAGAGUGGCCAUGAAGAUUGAUUGCCGAUUUUAAAUAAGUUUAGCUUUUAAUUUGGAUUAUUUUAUUUUUAUUAUGCUAAAAGUUGUAAUAAGGCCGCUCUUUUUAAUUGCUUUUAUUUGGGGAUUAUUAAACUCGUUAACACUAGGGUUCGUUUUAUAAAAUCUACUUGUUUUAAAAGAUCA